rnacentral:rRNA from 1 species
UACGUAGGGUGCGAGCGUUGUCCGGAUUUACUGGGCGUAAAGAGCGCGCAGGCGGUUGGAUAAGUCGAAUGUGAAAGCCCCCGGCUCAACUGGGGAGGGUCAUUCGAUACUGUCCGACUCGAAGGCAGGAGAGGGAAGCGGAAUUCCCGGUGUAGUGGUGAAAUGCGUAGAUAUCGGGAGGAACACCAGUGGCGAAGGCGGCUUUCUGGCCUGUUCUUGACGCUGAGGCGCGAAAGCCAGGGGAGCAAACGGG